ACUGCUGCGGGCGAGCGGGGAGUCGUGCUCCGUGGCUGCUGGGGGCCCGUGCGGGGAUGGGGUGGCAGAGGGACCCCGAGAGGCUCCCGGGGGACUCUGAGGGGACCAGCCGCUAUGAAUCAAACAGUGUCUCUUAAUGGUGAUGCUCAGGGUGCCACCACUGCAUUUUCUGAAGCAUAGCGCCAUUGCCCAAGUUUUAAAGAUAAAUAAGCCUCUUGUGAGAAUGACAGCAUGAAGUACAAUUGAAUCCUGCAUCCUCUGGUUUGCAAUGGACAUUAAAGUUUAUUUCUGUGAAAGAAUAUUUACCGGUUACUGCUCUCCCUGUUCUGGAGGUCAUCCACAUUUGACUCCCUACUCUGAAGCUUUGUAUCAUAUCAGUUACUUUAAAAAAUGGGGAAACAUCAUGACAUUCUACCAUGCAGAUACCUGGCAAGUAUCCUUAGAGUACAGAGUUAAUGUGUCCGAACCUAAGGGAUGACUCCAGUGCUCCUUGGAUUAAUUUCAGUUUUAACAACAGAAAUCAAGUUCCAUAUGCUUGACGUAUAGUAUGUUGAUAGUAUAUUUCCUUCUCCUCCUAUUCAUCCCUUAUUAAUUGACCAUGGUACUUAAGAGGGACAGAGGGAGUACGUGUUUUGUUGUAAGGGGCACAAGGUGUGCAAAUAAGCUGGCAGAGUACUGCCACAGGCUGCAGAGCUCAUCUUGCAUGGGCACCUGCCACAGCAGGUUCAAUCCCACAAAAACCUGAUAGUGUUUCUUCAUCCUGAUAAUCUUAAUAGCAGCAUCUUACCGCAUUGCAAGAUUGAGGGAUGAAGUACAUUAGUCUGCCCAGUUUCUGGAAUUCAGAAUCUGUGGUUUUGUAUUCAAAAGUGCAUGUGAAGUCUGAAGCCUGAAGAGCAUCUGCUUUUCAUGCAAACAUCAUUCAAGGUUGGCAGCUGAGACACAGCGACCUUGGCUACGAUACAGAGAUCUCCAAGUAGAGCAGAACUUUCAGCUUUCCUGUCAGACUUCCCUGCAAUCUGUGCUAUUAAUCAAACAUCACAAUAACACUCCUAUAGGGCUUGAUUUUUGUGAGUUUAUUUAACCUUGUACAUGGCAAGAAUUGCGCAGGGCUAAAUAGCAAUGGAAUGACAUUAACUUGACCCUCAUCUUGGAGAGCUGCCAAAGGAACCUGUCCUUGUCAGGGCACAGAGAUGGCUGUGAGCUCUGGGACCAACAGAGUGGGGAAGAGUCAGGGGAAAAGGGUGCCUUGUCGACUGCUCUGUCAAUUUCCUCCCUUUGGAAAUAUUUCCAGAGCUUAUAUGUUGAAGGUGAAGUAAAUACUAAUAA